rnacentral:tRNA from 1 species
GCGGAUGUGGCGAAAUUGGUAGACGCACUAGACUUAGGAUCUAGCGCCGCGAGGCAUGGGGGUUCGAGUCCCUCCAUCCGCACAC